GCCCUGUGGUGGUUUCACGAGCUCCUAUGUCUAAUUCUUAUGAAUAGACUCAAUUGAUCCUCACUCAUAUAGCAAUAUAUCACUAUGCAAACUUACUACUAGUGAUGGCCUCAUGAUAAUUAUGAGAAUUCAGAUAUUUUUUACCUUGUAACAUGAAUCUUGAAGUAAGGGCAGAAAAAAAAUAAGUCACACUAUGAGAGAGGGGAAGAACAGG
rnacentral:lncRNA from 1 species